rnacentral:rRNA from 1 species
UACGAAGGGGGCUAGCGUUGUUCGGAAUUACUGGGCGUAAAGCGCGCGCAGGCGGCUAUCCAAGUCAGUGGUGAAAGCCCGGAGCUCAACUCCGGAACUGCCAUUGAAACUGUUUAGCUUGAGGAUGAGAGAGGUGAGUGGAAUUCCCAGUGUAGAGGUGAAAUUCGUAGAUAUUGGGAAGAACACCGGUGGCGAAGGCGGCUCACUGGCUCGUAUCUGACGCUCAGGCGCGACAGCGUGGGGAUCAAACAGG